GGCUCCCUUCUACGAAGAGGUCGUCCAAGAGUUUGGCUGGGUAAAGGAUGAACACGUUUUAGCCACCAUGAAAGCGGCCAAUGAGGCAAAGUUGAAAGUUUUAGACGACGCCAUAAAAGAUGCCGAAAAAAGUUUAGGGGAAACGGAAAUUCGUGACAGCAUGUUAGCCAAGGCAGAGUACCUGUGCCAAAUUGGGGAUAAAGUUGCUGCUCUGUCAGAGUUCCGUAAAACAUAUGAUAAAACUGUUGCCCUUGGAUACAGAUUAGAUAUAGUCUUUCAGUUGAUUAGGAUUGGUUUGUUCUACAACGAUCAUGAUCUGAUUACAAAAAAUCUUGAGAAGGCA
rnacentral:sRNA from 1 species